rnacentral:rRNA from 1 species
UACAGAGGUGGCAAGCGUUGUUCGGAAUUACUGGGCGUAAAGGGCGCGUAGGCGGCUUGGUCAGUCCCGUGUGAAAUCCCUCGGCUCAACUGAGGAACUGCACGGGAAACUGCCUGGCUUGAGUUCGGGAGAGGGAAGCGGAAUUCCUGGUGUAGCGGUGGAAUGCGCAGAUAUCAGGAGGAACACCUAUAGCGAAGGCAGCUUGCUGGGACGUUACUGACGCUAAGGCGCGAAAGCGUGGGGAGCGAACAGG